rnacentral:tRNA from 1 species
AAGACUUUAAGUUAUUUAAACUAAAAACCUUCAAAGUUUUCAAUGAUCAUAUCAAGUCUUG